AUUGAACGCUGGCGGCAGGCUUAACACAUGCAAGUCGAGCGGGGGAAGGUAGCUUGCUACCGGACCUAGCGGCGGACGGGUGAGUAAUGCUUAGGAAUCUGCCUAUUAGUGGGGGACAACAUCUCGAAAGGGAUGCUAAUACCGCAUACGUCCUAUGGGAGAAAGCAGGGGAUCUUCGGACCUUGCGCUAAUAGAUGAGCCUAAGUCGGAUUAGCUAGUUGGUGGGGUAAAGGCCUACCAAGGCGACGAUCUGUAGCGGGUCUGAGAGGAUGAUCCGCCACACUGGGACUGAGACACGGCCCAGACUCCUACGGGCGGCAGCAGUGGGGAAUAUUGGACAAUGGGGGGAACCCUGAUCCAGCCAUGCCGCGUGUGUGAAGAAGGCCUUAUGGUUGUAAAGCACUUUAAGCGAGGAGGAGGCUACUUUAGUUAAUACCUAGAGAUAGUGGACGUUACUCGCAGAAUAAGCACCGGCUAACUCUGUGCCAGCCGCCGCUGUAA
rnacentral:rRNA from 1 species